CCCUCCACUGAGGGAAGAGAUGGGCUGAGGAAGAAGCUGAGCCAAGAGACGGGCCGGAGGAGGUAGGCUCGGCGCUCGGGAGAAGAAUCCCAGGUGAAAUUGGAGACGGGUCAAGAGAGGCUCGGGAAUUGCCCUACCGAAGCUGACCAGGGGCAGCCAAAAACUGACUCGGAGGACGCUUGAUAAGCUGAACUGCAUUGCAGCAGCCUACGAACUGAGCUUUCAGUAUAUCUGUAUCUGCUUUUCUGUGAGACCAACGGACACUUCACGAAGAAAAAAAAUUCACACCACUGCAAUGACUUCAAGAGCUCCAUGGCUGUUCUGCAGACAGAUGCACAAUUGUGAAACAUCAAUAUGGACUGCAAAUCUCUACUGUCAGUCAGCUCCUCUUCCCCUCUGCAUAACAUAAUCCCUAUCUCCACAAUGCCUGCACAGAUACACAUUUGCAAAGAUGUUUUUCUGGAGAUAGUGUGCAUAGCAAACAUUCCCUUACUUGUUCUCAUCUCUAGCAACAUUAUAUGGAGUUUCAGUUCACAGUUCACUGUGUUCCACCUCCUACCACUGAAAUGCAGCCAACUCUGAGCUGUGGCUAUUAAACAUCACACGAGCAACACCACAAAACAGAUUGUGCAAAGCAAAGGAAUUCAGAGAAAAGCAACAAAUUGAGUGAGGUCUGCAAAGGCUAUCUGGGAAGUGAUAACAAAGGAUCAUAGGGAAUGAGUUAAUUGUGAUGCAGAAUAGCCAUCACUGUGAUGUUCAGGUGAUACCAGUAUGCAAGGAUGAGUUUUUGAGGGUGGCACAAAGAGAUGUUACUAGGAGCAACCAGGUUUCAACCAGGGAGACAAACAGGUCAGCUUCCCUAACCACUGAGUUUUGUCAGACUGCCAGACUCCCAAGGAAAGGGCUGCAGGCAUCAUUGCUUGAGGGUUUUAAAACUGGUCCUAGUCUCAAGACAGGACAAGGCACUGUCAGGACAGAUGAAUAAAACAAGAUGGAGCAAAUAGCCGUACCUAUCCCCACUUUGUAUGAGUCUGAGAAAACGACUGGGAGAAAGAUGGCAAGGUCUGAAGGAAUCACGUGUAGAGAGUUAGAAAACAUUGUGAACUGGUGUGACAGUAGCUGUGACAUGGCCAGGAAAAAGCUUCCAAAGACAGUGCUCUUCUUUGACAACAUGAUGACCUUAGAGUGAGAAAGGACGAAAAAGAGGAAGAUGUGCAACGAAUCAGAGGAAAGAGAAACGUGUGAAUGUAUGUAGCUGUUUAUGUGUGUGUGUAGCACAAUAGGAAUUUCAUUCAGAUAGAAUAAAGCAUUGUAGGUGUCUGUA